ensembl:lncRNA
CGGUUGGGAGAAAGCCAUGCUGCCAUUGGGCUGACGGCGGCGGUGGGCUGCGUGCGUUGGAUGUAUGGGAUGGGGAUGAGGACAGGGAUGGGGACGAGGUGGGAUGGGAGGGACAGAGAUUUGGGAAUGGGUGGGGUGGGAAUGAGAAUGGGGAUGGGAUAGGAUGGGGACAGGAAUGGGUAUGGGGUGAGAAUGGGAUGGGAAUGAGAUUUGGGUUGGGAUGGGAUGGAGUGGGCAUGCAGUGAGAGUGGGAUGGGGAUGGCAUGGGAUGAGGAUAGCGACCGGGAUGGGAAUGGGAUAGGAAUGGGAUGGAAUGGGAUGGGGAUGACGUGGGAUGAGGAUAAUGACUGGGAUGGGAUGGGAAUGGGAUGGGAUGGGAUGGGAUGGGAUGGGGAUGCGAUUUGGGAUGAGGAUAGGAUGGAAUGGGCAUGCAAUGAGGAUGAGAGGGGGAUGGGAUGGGGAUGAGGAUAGCAAAAGGGAUGGGGACAGAGACAGGGAUGAAGAUGGAUGGGGAUGAGGAUUAGGGCGGGGAGGGGAAUGAGUAUGGGAUGGUAUGGGGGCAGGAAUGGGGAUGGGAUGGAAGUGGGAUGGGGAUGGGGAUGGGUGAGGAUAGAGAUGAGGAUGGGGACAGGAAUGGGGAUGGAGAUGGGAUAGGAUGGGAAUGAGGAUGGAGAUGGGAUGGAGAUGGGACAGGAUGGAAAUGAGGGUGGGGUGAAGAUGGAGAUGGGAUAGGAUGGGAUGGGGGAUGGGGAUGGGGUGAAGAUGGAGAUGGGAUGGGAAUGAGGGCAGGGAUGGGGAUGGAGAUGGGAUAGGAUGGAAAUGAGGGCAGGGACGGGGAUGGGAUGGAGAUGGGAUGGGAAUGGGAUAAAGAUGGAGAUGGGAUAGGAUGGGAAUGAGGGUGGGGAUGGGGUGAAGAUGGAGAUGGGAUGGGAAUGAGGGUGGGGUGAAGAUGGAGAUGGGAUAGGAUGGAAAUGAGGGCAGGGAUGGGGAUGGGGUGAAGAUGGAGAUGGGAUGGGAAUGAGGGUGGGGUGAAGAUGGAGAUGGGAUGGGAAUGAGGGCGGGGAUGGGGACGGAGAUGGGAAGGAGGGCAGGAACGGAGAGGGGAUGCGGACAGCGAUGGGGAUGGAUGGGAAUGGGGAGGGGAUGGGCUCAGAUGGGUCCAUCUCCGCACCCGGCCGAGGGAAGGCGCCGCGCUCGGAGCGGACCCCGGGACUGAGCGCAGGGCUGAAGCUCCGCGCCUGAGAGCCGAACCCUCCGCGCUUAACUCUGCGCGGCCGGGCUGGGAAUCCGCGCGGGGUUACGGUGGGGAAGCGAUCCUUUCCGGCGCUGCCCUCCCGCCUCGUUAAUCCCGUCUGAUGGAAUUAAGGAGCCGUCCUCAAUAAACCUCUUUGCUCACAGCUCCUCUUCCGGAGCCGCGCGUGGCUGCGGUCACGUAGGGAUGGGGGGGGUGGGGGAGGCGGCCGCGUGCCCCCCAAC